UGACCACGGGCAGCUUAACAGCAGUGGACGGAAAGUCCCAGGAUCAUCUUCUCAAAUGCCUUCUUUUUCUCCUAUGAAGAAAAAGUUAUCUUCUCAACUGCCUCCUCCUCCUCCUCCUCCAGUAUAUUUUUACCAAUUUCCAGAUCAAGUUGAGAAAUCUCAGCGUCGGAUGAACUGAAGAUGCUCAAAUCUCCUGUUUCCGUUUCCAUGGUAUGUAUAGAAAAGUUGGAGAUUAUUAUGUUCAAGUUUUUCUUUGAUUUGAAGGAGAAUAGGUUGGGUUUAUGAAGAAAAGGUUCCGGAUUUACGGAUCUACAAUCUGAUUUAUGAUUAAAAUACAUGGUUUCUGGUUUAAGUUGUUUACAUAUAUAUCUAACAAUUUUAGUCAGAAGAUUCGAUUUUUGUGGGGUGACUUUUAAUCUCAUGAUUUUAAGGAGAAAAUAUUGAUUGAUUCUUAAGUUUAGGAAGUAAAGCUUCGAUUUUUAUGUUGUGCUGGUUGUUCCUCUUAUGAUUUCAAGUCGUAGAGGUGGAUUUCUGUGUUUGAUUUCAAUGAUUUCAACGAGGAUAAUUGGAAAUCUUAUAACAAUAAAGUUCUGAUUUUUAUGGUUCAUCUGUGAUUUGAAUGAGAAAAGAAUAGUUCUGGGGAUGAUUUCUAUUUAUCUCGGGAUUAUUUCAUCCGGGGUCAGAUUAGUGCAUCAUCUGGAAAUUUUGCAACAAGUAAAGUUCUGAUUUUUAUGGUUCGUCUGUGAUUUGGGAUAUCCUGUGGAGAAUAUGUUUGGUCUCUAUUUUUAUCUCAGGGAUUAUUUAAUCUCUAUCUCUAUUGAUACAUUGAUUUUUAGGGUAAGUAAAAAAACAGACAAGAUAUUCAUGUUCUCUGUAACCAAUUCUACAUCUAUUCCCUGAUACUUAGAUGAUUCCAGAAUGGUAAAACCAAAAAUACCAAUUGGGAGUUAUCCACACUGGAGCCGUAGAGAACCAUUAGUCUCAUGGAUUUCUUCUUGUACAUCCUAGGGUCUGAUUUACGCAUCAUCUGGGGCCUUGGGUGAACUCUCAUCAACUGCUCUUUACUCAAUGCUAUCAAGUCUUUCUUAGUUUGUUAUCGUUCCUUCUUAUAUUGGUUUUGUACCUAAUCCGAUCUUUGAAGUCACUAUCCAUUUCUCCGCUGCUGAGAUGGUAAAGAAACUCGCCACCAUUUCAAAGCUACACCUGAACUUAUUUACAUUAGAAUUAGCAGGUUUAGUUCAUCGUCUCAGUGAAUGGAUUUGUUGCGUCGAGGUGCACAAACAUGUAGGGUUUGGUGCUGCUUGUCUGGUCUGGUCUGCUAUUGUACUUGCUCUACAAGUAUCUAGUAAUAGUAACUUCACUUUGCCAAGUUUAAAUUCAAAGAAUUCACCAGUAAAUAUACCUGGAUAAAAUUCUGGUCUUUCCCGAUUUUCGAACUGUAUGAAACACGAGUCUUCUAGUUCUUAGCCGUUCUGUGGAGAUUGCACUGAAUGGACAAGAGAUUUUCAAUGCUUUAGUGUUUGAUCUCUGGGUCUAAAAAAACCACCAAGUUGGUAGCUGGUUAAAGUUUUGUUCUUUUAUCAGUUAUACCUACGAAACAUGGCUCUCGUAGUUCUGGGUCUUUCUGUGAAGAUUACAGUGAAAAGUUGCGGGGUUUGCAGUUGAAGAUGCUUAAUACCACAAAACAUUACGGGGUUCUGAAGAGUGCUGGUGAUUGUGGGAUAUGAUGAGCAGGAAUGAGAUCCGUACGUCUUGUCCUGUGCUGCACAUUUUCCAGUUACAUUUGGAGUAUAGAGCCAGAGGGAAGUUGGUCACCAAUCAAGACUCCAGUCAUGAGGAAUCAGGCUGGACACAUCGGUGCAACCAUAUUGUUGGAAUCAGAUUGUUACAUUGAGGACAAGGUAUCAAAAGGGUAUAACAAAACUUUCUCAACUUGCUUUAGCUGUUGAAUCACGCUCAACAUCCUCGAAAGCAACAAAAGGGUCCCCGAGCCUGAUUGAGGAGAGUUGAUGCGUUUCUGAAGGCUCGUUAAUUAGUAUGGGAGAGGACAGGUACAACUCAUCAGUGGACUGGACUCUCUUAUACAUUCAAAACAGGGGAGAAACUUAAUUCAAAGAAAGACAUUCAAGUGGAAUGCUCACCUCGGCCUCAUUGCUGAUGUCCGCAACUAUUAAGUAUAGGUGUUUACCAGGAGGUUUUCGUUUUUGGAUCAUUCGUUAUAGAGGAUGUCAGUUUAUUCAAAACCCAGCAUCCGCUAGUCAGCCUAUGGAAAAGAAAGAAGUUCAGUUUAGUUCUUUAGACGCAGCAACAAACACAAUCAGGAUGAUGUUUCUAAGAGGGCAAACAUAUCAAUUCACCAAACUCUACAAGAAAGGAAAAUCCACUCCAGAGUGCAAAUACAACAAAUGACGAGCAGCAUAGUGUGUCUGGAAGUAUUGCAUAUGGAAAUGAUACAUCUUCUUCCUCCAGUUACUCUCCAAUUGACGACGGGGUAAUAGAGAGAAUUAGUGCAAACAAGUUCAUUAUGUAUAUCCAAAAAUAGAGAAAGUGCGCAGAAGCAAUCAAUUUCAGACCUUGGUAUGGAAUAGAAACCGUCACCUCUUACCGGAAGGAGAUGGAUGUCACCGAUUCAUCAAAAGGGCUCUGCCACCUGUUCUCCAUAGGCUCAACUUCUGCAGGAACUAAGAGUUUGUGAUUUUCUAAAGAUCGGAUAUCCUAAUUACAUGCGGUUAUUGAGUUUAUCUCUCAUUCUGAAACUAGGAGCUUGUGAUAUUCUGAAGAUCGGAUAUCCUAAUUACAUGUGGUUAUUGAGUUUGUCUCUCUUUUUGAAACUGUUGCUGAUGCAAGCUUGAAGAAGUCCCAAAUGGUGCUAACUCAGACUGGGAUGCCUUUCAUCCCUCCAUAUUUGAGCCGGUUUUGAAUAAUUUCACUCCUGAAAUACCAAAUAGUGUCAGGAACGCCAAGACGAGAAGAUGCUCAGAAGUUUCUCUGUUUUGUGAUGGAUCAAAUGCAUGAUGAAGUACUUGAGCGUUUUGGUCACUUUUGGUGACUGGAUCUGUAUGCUUAUUUUUAAUUUGUAAUUCUUUCAUGCACAUCAGUAUAUCUGUGUGUAAGUCCAUGAUUUCUACUCUGCCGCCGAGAUAGAGGUUCUUGGUUUGGAGAGGUUAAAAGCAGAAUGACGAGCACAUGGAUUGAAAUGUGGGGGGAAUUUUACAAGAGCGUGCUUCUAGGCUUUCCCUUCUCAGAACCACACCUAUACUGAAACUUCAGCUUCCAAUACAGAUUACUAUUUCUAUAGAACUUUAAAACAUCUAUUAGAAUCCUUCCAAAGAGGUUCUUGGCGAAGAAAUAGAUCUGUGUUUCAUAACAGAGUAGCUACAUAGAUGCAAUCUUUUACGUAAAAUCUUAUGCCUGAAUUCAAAUCCUGGAACUUCAGCUUCCAAUACAGAUUGUCAUUUCUAUAGAACUGUAAAACAUAUAUUAGAAUCCUCUGGAAAUUUUCAGGGACCAACGUCAGUAAGACAACGUCGCCCACACUCUAGAAGUAAAACCUGUCGGUCAAGCCAUAGCACUAAUAAAGCUAAAUGUUGUCAACGUUUCUAUUUGUCUGCACUCUUCUUUUCCUUGUCGGUUUUGGUAUACCAGACCCCAUCUUUGUCUGCCCGCACUGCUUUCUCAAGCUCCUUGGAUGGAGGCAGCAUUUCAAAACUGCAAUCUUUCUUCGGAAAAUCCUCCCACUUUGCAAGGAUAUUAGCAGGUUCAUUUCCUCCGCGCAGUAUUUGAGUCACAAUUAUAUCCUCAAAAUGCAACAUCAGUAAGUGUAUUUCUGCAAUUAAUUUCUUAAUUCUUUUUGGUGUGAGUUCCCCACGUAGAAUUUUAGUUAAAAUCUCGUGGUCCAUUUCCAACCAUACCUUCUUGAACCCUGCCUUUUUUGCAUAUGCCAGACCACGCUUAGCAGCUAUUGCUUCAAUUCUAUAAGAGUCGGUUGCUGUUUUUUUUUUUACUCUUAGAUGCUGGUUCUUUUGUACUCUUAGAUGCUGGUUUUUUCUUAGCUUCUCUUUUCACUGGUAAAUAUGGCACUUUUAGAGGUGUUUGAAAACCUAGUAGAGGUUCCCCAUCAGAGUCUCUAAAAAUUCCAGCCCCUGUGGCUCUCGCCUUCUUAUUUUCCUCCUCCUCCUCCUCCUCCUCAUCAUCAUCCUCUUCCUUGGGUAUUUUAAUACUGCCAUCGGUGUUUAGCUUGACCCACCCUUUCGGUGGUUUCUCCCACUGAAAAUGGUAUACUUUGCCUCCGUUGGAUGCUUUACAUAUCACUUUAAAAAUAUCACGUACUGUUUGCCGCAUUCGGAGCUUGCGAAACAUGUCAGACAGCUGCUCUAGAGUAGUAGAACUCAUCGACUUGUUGA